AUUGAACGCUGGCGGAAUGCUUUACACAUGCAAGUCGAACGGCAGCACGGACUUCGGUCUGGUGGCGAGUGGCGAACGGGUGAGUAAUGUAUCGGAACGUGCCCAGUCGUGGGGGAUAACGUAGUGAAAAUUACGCUAAUACCGCAUACGAUCUAUGGAUGAAAGCGGGGGAUCGCAAGACCUCGCGCGAUUGGAGCGGCCGAUAUCAGAUUAGGUAGUUGGUGGGGUAAAGGACCACCAAGACAACGAUCUGUAGCUGGUCUGAGAGGACGACCAGCCACCAUGGAACUGAGACACGGUCCAGACGCCUACGGGAGGCAUCAGUGGGGAAUUUUGGACAAUGGGCGAAAGCCUGAUCCAGCCAUUCCGCGUGCAGGAUGAAGGCCCUCGGGUUGUAAACUGCUUUUGUACAGAACGAAAAGGUUUCUACUAAUACUAGGAGCUCAUGACGGUACUGUAAGAAUAAGCACCGGCUAACUACGUGCCAGCAGCCGCCGUAA
rnacentral:rRNA from 1 species